CCACGCCCCGGCCCCGGCCCCGGCCGCGCGCAAUCCCGGGGGCGGGGAGGGGCGGGGGGGGGACGGCGGGAGGCGGCCCCGGGGCUCGGCUGUGAGGAGCUGGGGGAGCUGCCCCGCGGUACAGUGCGUCCCGGCCGCGCCGCACCGGCACCGGCGCUGUGCUGAUCCGGUCCGGCGCUGCUCCGCCCCCGCACCACCCUCGCCGYUCUGCCGCGGCCCAGGGAGCGCUGUGGCUGAGCCGCUCGGCGCUGGAGGCCGGAGCGUGGGGCCGCGGGCCGGCGCUGCCGGGUGAGGAAGCGCUUCGCCCUCCGCCUUCCCCUCGAACCGCCCGUGUGCCAUCCUUCCUAUGGGAUUUUCUUCUAAAAAGAAGAACUUGUGAUCGCUGUCGCUGAUCCUCCUUGAGAAAUGGAGGCUAGUCGAAAGGAAGUUACCAUGUGUUUGGUCACAGAAUCACACUGGACACUUGUGGUGAACUGCUUCUCUGCUUGAGUUUCUUCAGAUGAAAAUUAUUCAGAAGACCUAUAUUUUAGCUUUGAAGGUUUCCAGCAGUGCUGAUGUGACAUGUUUUAGUAGAACCAGCUUAUCAGGUAUAUAAUCUAUAUCUUGUUGAUUACUCUGUGAAGAAAGGAGCAAGAUCAGACUCAGUAUCUGCCUGUACCUGGUAGAUGUUGCAUUUUUUUGAAGUGCAUCUCAUUGGAGAGAU